GUAGGUGAACCUGCGGAAGGAUCAUUAAAGUAUAUUGAAUUCACAUUCAUAUCAACCCACCCUGUGUACCUUAUUACUGUUGCUUCCAUGGGACUUGGCUACGCCACGUCGGCCCUCGGGCUGGUGAGCGCCCAUGGGAGGAAAUCAAAACUCUUUUUUAUACAUGACGUCUGUCUGAACUGUUUAUUUUAAACGUUAAAACUUUCAACAACGGAUCUCUUGGUUCUCGCAUCGAUGAAGAACGCAGCAU
rnacentral:misc_RNA from 1 species